rnacentral:misc_RNA from 1 species
UUACCGGUAUACAUACAUUUUAUCCACGCCAUUUUAUCUAGAACAACCUGAAAAUUUUCGCAUUUGCUGUAAUCCAAAAGCUUGGUAAAAAAUAAGUUUCAGGUUCAACCUUAUAAAGCUCUAUAAUGUCCGAUUAUCGAUCGCAAUCCCGUGAUGGUCACCGAGAUGGUGGACGUGGAGGUGGCGGCAGAGAUUAUUCCAGUGAUGACGAUCCACCAAUGUCGCGACUUUUUAUAAUUUGUAAUAAAGCUCAUACAGAAGAUGAUUUUCGUGAAGCAUUCUCGUCCUAUGGCGAAAUCGAAGAUAUUUGGGUAGUGAAGGACAAAAACUCGGGCGAAAACAAAGGUAUUGCCUAUGUAAAAUUUGCGAAGACUUCGGAUGCGGCUAAAGCACAAGAAGAGAUGAAUGGCAAAACAAUCGGCAAAAUGGACCGAACCUUGAAAGUGUUGGUUGCUGCAAACCGAAACCAGGGAUCUAAUAAAAGUGAAAAUGAACAGGAAAAAUAUGUUCGCCUAUUUAUUGUUAUAUCCAAAUCUGCAACGGAAGAGGAAAUAAGGAAUGAAUUUUCACAAUGGGGAGAUGUGGAAAAUGUAACGAUUGUCAAAGAUAAAUCAAGCGGAUCACCUAAAGGAUUUGGAUAUGUUCGAUUUACAAAGUUCUAUCAUGCUGCUGUAGCUUUUGAAAAUUGCCCUCCCAAAUACAAAGCUGUGUUUGCUGAACCUAAAGGAUCGUCACGAUCUCAACGAGAUCAGUAUGGAAGAUCAGGUGAUGAUAACCCCCUAAUAGGUUCCGGUCGCAGUGGUGGUGGAGGAGGAGGAGGAGGCAGUGGCAGCGGUACUUAUAAUAAUGGAAAUUUUAAUAACGAUUGGAACUGUUCUUUUAACAACGAUAUGUCAGCAUUUUUACGAAUGCAAAAUGUACCUGUUCCGCAACCAACAUGUUUAGAAGUGAUUGCUAGCAAUUGUGUUAACCAGGAUCAGUUGUGGCGCUUAUUUGACAUCAUACCAGGCUUGGAUUACUGUCAAAUAACUCGAGAAUAUGGGCCAAGAACCAACGAGGCAAUUGUUGUUUACGAUAAUCCAGAAGCCGCUAUUUACGCAAAAGAUAAAUUGCAUGGGCUGGAAUACCCAAUAGGGGAACGACUCAUUGUUAAAGUGGCGGGCAUGAGUUCAGCACGAAUGGAUACAUCGUUUAUUGAUAAGCGAACUAAAAAAGAUUCAAUAUGCAGUGUUGCAUUACCACCUGCUCAGCCAAUGGUAUCGUCCGAAACGCCAGUUGCGCAACGAUUGUUUAUUGUAUUAGCUGCUAACCUACCACAGUCUAUAUUGAAAAAUGUAUUUUCAUGCUGGAAGGGACUAAUUGAUGUGUACUUGUUGCCGAAUAAAAAUUGCGGCUAUGUAAAGUACGCAGAUAGAGAAAGCGCACAAAAAGCCAUUCAACAAUUGAAUGGUGCGGAAAUUUGUGGAACAAAAAUAAAGGUAAUGGAAGCAGAAGAGAGAGGUAAUGGAGAUGGUGAUGACAAUGGAAGGAAGCGUCUUCGAAGGAAUUAAAGGAAAGGUAAAAAUAUAACUUUUAUUUCUUUCUUUACAAUCCGCAACUGACAAUAUCCAUGUGAAAUAUUUUUAAACGACAUAAACAUAAAGCAAACCAAAUUAAAACCAUAACAAUAACGUUCCAUUACUUAAUUGUACAAGAAAUAUAAUGAAACUAACUGACCGCAGAAAACAAUACGGAUACAUAACGCAAACGGAGUUGAAACGGAAACUGCUAGAUACAGUAAGAACGAAGAAUAUAUAAAAAAGGUGUUUCAGCAAUGAACAAUCACCACCAACCCAACCGACUCAGACCUUCACAAUCACUCUGUCACAUCAUUAGUCACCACAAUAUGAAUAAAGCCACAGAAUGUCACUUGUAGACAAUGACCAAUUUGAGACCAAGUACCCCAAUACACAAACGGAGCCAAACGCUAACGGAGCGCAACGGACACUGCAAAGAGCUAAAACUACAGUACAGAAAAAGAAUUGAUAUUACAGAGUAUUUAUUUGCGCAGAGCUUUUACAAGAAAAAUUAAACGUAACCUGAACGUAAAACGAGAACGCGAAACUGAACUAAAACCCAUAAGGACGAAGAUAUAUACGCUACGAAUCACGAUGCAAGAACCGAAUUAACUUUUACCACAGCAAACUUUAAUACUCCUUUUUCAAGAAAAUACAUACAAAUACUUUUAACACUUCAA